rnacentral:rRNA from 1 species
ACAAGGGAGCUUGACUGUGAGACCGACGGGUCGAGCAGGGACGAAAGUCGGGACUAGUGAUCCGGCGGUGGCUUGUGGAAGCGCCGUCGCUCAACGGAUAAAAGGUACCCCGGGGAUAACAGGCUGAUCUUCCCCAAGAGUCCAUAUCGACGGGAUGGUUUGGCACCUCGAUGUCGGCUCGUCGCAUCCUGGGGCUGGAGUCGGUCCCAAGGGUUGGGCUGUUCGCCCAUUAAAGCGGUACGCGAGCUGGGUUUAGAACGUCGUGAGACAGUUCGGUCCCUAUCCGCUGUGCGCGUAGGAAUAUUGAGAAGGGCUGUCCCUAGUACGAGAGGACCGGGACGGACGAACCUCUGGUGUGCCAGUUGUUCUGCCAAGGGCAUGGCUGGUUGGCUACGUUCGGGAGGGAUAACCGCUGAAAGCAUCUAAGCGGGAAGCCUGCUUCGAGAUGAGUAUUCCCACCUCCUUGAGAGGGUAAGGCUCCCAGUAGACGACUGGGUUGAUAGGCCGGAUAUGGAAGCCCUGUAAGGGGUGGAGUUGACCGGUACUAAUAGGCCGAGGGCUUGUCCUCAGUUG